rnacentral:lncRNA from 1 species
GAGUGUAGAAGGUGUUCUGUCGUCUUUCUCAGCCAAAAGGUUACCCUAGAAUAGUUUUGAGGGUCUAUUUAUAAGCUAUUAAAAAUUACAAAAUUUUGGCCCAAGCCCAACUACAACGCUUAGCGCUGGAUUGACCACUCAGCGUUGGAUUGACUGCUCAACGAUAGGUGCGGCUCUCCACUGGAUCGCUCAGCGUUGACGCCCAAGCCUCCUGCCGUAUUGAAUUGAAGUUCUUAGUGCUCAGCGGUGGAUUUUGGCGCUCAGUUGUAGACACGGUUCUUCAUUUACCCCUCAGCGCUGACGCUUAAGCGUAUGACUGUAUUGAAUUCCACAAGGUUGGCGCUCAGCGCUGAAAUUGGUGCUGAGUGGUGAGAGUGAUUCCUCUUUUGCACCUUUCUUCAUCCUUUCUUGAGUCCAACUCCUUCCUACUUCACUUUCCAUCCU